UGGUGGGUAGUUUGACUGGGGCGGUCUCCUCCCAAAGCGUAACGGAGGAGCACGAAGGUUAGCUAAUCCUGGUCGGACAUCAGGAGGUUAGUGCAAUGGCAUAAGCUAGCUUGACUGCGAGCGUGACGGCGCGAGCAGGUGCGAAAGCAGGUCAUAGUGAUCCGGUGGUUCUGAAUGGAAGGGCCAUCGCUCAACGGAUAAAAGGUACUCCGGGGAUAACAGGCUGAUACCGCCCAAGAGUUCAUAUCGACGGCGGUGUUUGGCACCUCGAUGUCGGCUCAUCACAUCCUGGGGCUGAAGUAGGUCCCAAGGGUAUGGCUGUUCGCCAUUUAAAGUGGUACGCGAGCUGGGUUUAGAACGUCGUGAGACAGUUCGGUCCCUAUCUGCCGUGGGCGCUGGAGAAUUGAGGGGGGCUGCUCCUAGUACGAGAGGACCGGAGUGGACGCAUCACUGGUGUUCGGGUUGUCAUGCCAAUGGCACUGCCCGGUAGCUAAAUGCGGAAGAGAUAAGUGCUGAAAGCAUCUAAGCACGAAACUUGCCCCGAGAUGAGUUCUCCCUGAGACUUUAAGUCUCCUGAAGGAACGUUGAAGACGACGACGUUGAUAGGCCGGGUGUGUAAGCGCAGCGAUGCGUUGAGCUAACCGGUACUAAUGAACCGUGAGGCUUAACCUUACAACGCCGAAG
rnacentral:rRNA from 1 species